AUGCGACGGCAUGACUGCUCGCCCGCAAGGGUGAAUCGUCAACGAGCAGAAGAUGACAAUGACAUGGCAGGCCGCGGCGUCAACGACGAAGGAGCUUUUGGUGCAGUAGCCCGAGAGGAGAAUGGCAAUUUUAUUGCGGCUGCCUCAUGGCUCAUGCCUCACGUUCCUAAUGUAGACUCAGCGGAAAUGACUGCGAUCAGAAAUGGAUUCUAUUUGGCGGCGGGCAUCGGCUGUAGCAAGCUGAUAACUGAAUCUAAUAGCUCUUUUGCUGUUGAUGCUAUGAAAGGUGAAAACGAUUAUGCAGGACCUUCCGGUCCAGUGACGAUGGAGAGUAAACAGCUGAUGAAGGGAUUUGGCCAAGUUGAUUUCUUACAUUGUUUUAGAGAGGCCAAUGAGGUGGCGAAUACUAUAGCAAAAUAUGCUUUUAGCUUUAGUACCUCUUGUGUUUGGGAUGCUAUCCCUAACUUUAUUUCAUCUUCCCUUGUAAACGAUCUUUCCAUUAUUUGA
rnacentral:rRNA from 1 species